rnacentral:rRNA from 1 species
AGCGGCGGACGGGUGAGUAAUGCCUGGGAAUAUGCCCUGAUGUGGGGGAUAACUAUUGGAAACGAUAGCUAAUACCGCAUAAUCUCUUCGGAGCAAGGAGGGGGACCUUCGGGCCUCUCGCGUCAGGAUUAGCCCAGGUGGGAUUAGCUUGUUGGUGAGGUAAUGGCUCACCAAGGCAACGAUCCCUAGCUGGUCUGAGAGGAUGAUCAGCCACACUGGAACUGAGACACGGUCCAGACUCCUACGGGAGGCAGCAGUGGGGAAUAUUGCACAAUGGGGGAAACCCUGAUGCAGCCAUGCCGCGUGUGUGAAGAAGGCCUUCGGGUUGUAAAGCACUUUCAGUAGGGAGGAAGGUAGUGUAGUUAACACCUGCAUUAUUCGACGUUACCUACAGAAGAAGCACCGGCUAACUCCGUGCCAGCAGCCGCGGUAAUACGGAGGGUGCGAGCGUUAAUCGGAAUUACUGGGCGUAAAGCGCAUGCAGGCGGCCUGUUAAGUCAGAUGUGAAAGCCCGGGGCUUAACCUCGGAAUUGCAUUUGAAACUGGCAGG